AGAGAAAGAGGUAGAGUUCCUAAGGUUGCCCAUAGUGCGUUACAAUCAAAAGGGAAAGAGAGCAGAGUUCAUCUGAACCAUACACCGUCCAUUCACUUGCCAGAUUUAGACCACCAGAUCGCCGGAACUGACAUCGACAACGGAAAAAGUCACUAUAGACCUGUGGCUGUUACGUAAAGAGCUGUUCCAAGAGGGAGAGUUGUGAAACCAAGAGAUAGUUAUGUUGAAGACAAUUAAAGAACAAGUGUAUUUCCCUAGUUUUAGAAUGAACAGGAGGUAGAUGUGAAAAACACACCAGCAGUUUCACUGCCUAAGAAGAAUCAUGAUUCAGUCAUGAGCCGCAUUGAUAUGGAGUUCUUGCCACCACGAAU